rnacentral:lncRNA from 1 species
GCCAUUGUUGUUGUGUCGCCGGUGGUCGUAGCUAGGGUUUUGAACUUGGGAAGGCGUGCUGGGGAAGGGAGGGGAGAGGAGGAGAUGAAGUUGCACCUAGGGGAGGAAGGUCGAGCUUGGACUACCAGCGGCCUGGACUGGCCUGGUGGCCAGCGGCGGCGCCCUGCCAUGGUCCGUCCGUGGGGGAGAGGAGAGGAAGAGUCACGCGAGUCCGAUCUACAGGAGAGGCGUCGAGCAUGCGUGGGAUGGUAAGGCGUGCUGGGGAAGGGAGGGGAGAGGAGGAGAUGAAGUUGCACGUGGGGGAGGAAGGUCGAGCUUGGACUACCAGCGGCCUGGCCUGGCCUGGUGGCCAGCGGCGGCGCCCUGCCAUGGUCCGUCCGUGGGCGAGAGGAGAGGAAGAGUC